CCGUCUCGCGAGUGUCAGUGGCUACACGUGUUUCAGGAAAACAAUUAGUUUUGGUGUAAUUACUAGUGUAAUCUUUUACAGAAAAUCAAUUUUAAGCUAAAUUAUUACUAAAACAAGGGUGGUGGUACAUAAGUUUAUUUAUUCUCGGCCAAGAAUUUAUCAAUAUUGUCUCCGAACACUGGCAAGGCUGGCUCAAGAUAUAUACUGAUGCUUCUAAGCUGGACGAAGGUGGAUGCACAGGUGCUGCAGUAUGGAUCCCAGCAUACAAAAUAACAUUGAAUUUUAAGUGUCCUCCUGUUACAUCAGUGUUCACCGGAGAAUCUGUUGCUAUACUUGAAGCUAUUCGCUAUAUAAUCUCUCAUCAACUCAAUAACACUCUGAUUUUCACCGAUUCUCUAAGCUGUCUUCAAUCCAUUUUAGCCAAUCCCUUCAAAUCCAAAUCCAAAUUUCCAAUAAUUUUCAAAAUUCGAGAAGCCCUAUAUCAGUGUAAUCAGCUGAAUUUAAAAGUCGUUUUGGCCUGGAUCCCAAGUCAUCGAGGAAUUCCUGGUAAUGAAACAGUAGACUCAUCCGCCAAAAUUGCUAUAACCACUGGCUCGUUGGAACAUUACAAGUUAUAUGCGCAUGACGCUUCCUCCCUGCCACGCAGUCACCUUUACAAAUCGUGGAAUACUCACUGGGAAAAGUCUAAACGAUUGGCUGGUAGAUAUUAUGCAGACAUCCAACAGAGCAUUCCCACAAGACCCUGGUUCUUUAAAUAUCACCACUUAUCUAAAAGGACUGUUUCCAUUAUCUGUCGCUUGCGUCUUGGUCAUGCUUGUACCCCGGUUCACCUUGCAAAAAUGCGGAUUAAAGAUAAUUCCCUAUGUGAGUGCGGCUUAGACGAGGGAUCAACCAACCACAUAUUUUUCAAUUGUCCGAAAAUUGGCUCUUCCUUGUUUGAUUUUCUUCCCAAAAAAUUCCCACUCCCCACUAACAUUAAGUGUGUCCUUAAUUGUAAUAACCCUUCCACUUUAAAAUCCCUUGUUAAAUUCAUUAACUCAAACAAAAUUAAUUUGUAGGUGAAUGGUAUAUAAGUUUGCUUAGAUUGCAGCUACAAAAUUUUCUAUUUUUAUAACAACAACCACUGUGUAAAAGCUGCGCACGUGACAUUGGCGGAAUAGUGUGCCCUCAGUGGCGAAAAAACGCAAGUUCAUCGCCAUAAACCAAAGAAGAAGAAGAAGAAG